UACGUAGGGGGGCUAGCGUUGUCCGGAAUCAUUGGGCGUAAAGCGCGUGUAGGCGGCCCGGUAAGUCCGCUGUGAAAGUCGGGGGGCUCAACCCUCGGAUGCCGGUGGAUACUGUCGGGCUCGAGUACGGAAGAGGCGAGUGGAAUUCCUGGUGUAGCGGUGAAAUGCGCAGAUAUCAGGAGGAACACCAAUUGCGAAGGCAGCUCGCUGGGACGUUACUGACGCUGAGACGCGAAAGCGUGGGGAGCGAACAGG
rnacentral:rRNA from 1 species